UACGAAGGGGGCUAGCGUUGUUCGGAAUUACUGGGCGUAAAGCGUAUGUAGGCGGAUCGUUAAGUCGGGGGUGAAAUCCCGAGGCUCAACCUCGGAACUGCCUUCGAUACUGGCGACCUUCGAGUCCGGGAGAGGUGAGUGGAACUGCGAAGUGUAGAGGUGAAAUUCGUAGAUAUUCGCAAGAACACCAGUGGCGAAGGCGGCUCACUGGCCCGGUACUGACGCUGAGGUGCGAAAAGCAUGGGGAGCAAACAGG
rnacentral:rRNA from 1 species